UGAAAUGCACAGUGUUGCAAUAUGUAGACA
rnacentral:piRNA from 1 species